rnacentral:misc_RNA from 1 species
ACACCUCAACUCCCAUGGUUCGCCAUGGUGAGCUUGGACUUUGGAGGUUUUGCUGGCCUACAGUCGGCUCCUCUCAAAUGAAUUAGCCUGCCAGUGUUUGGUGGCAUCACAGGUGUGAUAAAUAUCUACGCUUGCGAUUGCCCACCAGGUAACCUUCAGCUAUGGAGGUUCGCUGGAGCUUAUAAAUGUCUCUCCUCGGCGAAGACACAUUUUGACC